rnacentral:rRNA from 1 species
UACAGAGGGCGCGAGCGUUGUCCGGAAUCACUGGGCGUAAAGGGCGCGUAGGUGGCCACCAUAAGGCCGCGGUGAAAGUUCGGGGCUCAACCCCGGAUCGGCCGCGGCGACUGUGGGGCUCGGGUACUGUAGAGGCAGAUGGAAUUCCUGGUGUAGCGGUGAAAUGCGCAGAUAUCAGGAGGAACACCGGUGGCGAAGGCGGUUCUCUGGGCAUUACCUGACGCUGAGGAGCGAAAGUGUGGGGAGCGAACAGG